UACGUAGGGUGCAAGCGUUGUCCGGAAUUAUUGGGCGUAAAGAGCUCGUAGGCGGUUCGUCGCGUCGGCUGUGAAAACCCGGAGCUCAACUCCGGGCCUGCAGUCGAUACGGGCGGACUUGAGUGUUGCAGGGGAGACUGGAAUUCCUGGUGUAGCGGUGAAAUGCGCAGAUAUCUGGAGGAACACCGGUGGCGAAGGCGGCAUCCUGGACCGGCAUUGACGCUGAGGCGCGAAAGCCAGGGGAGCAAACGGG
rnacentral:rRNA from 1 species